rnacentral:rRNA from 1 species
CCUACGGGAGGCAGCAGUGGGGAAUAUUGGGCAAUGGGCGCAAGCCUGACCCAGCAACGCCGCGUGAAGGAAGAAGGCUUUCGGGUUGUAAACUUCUUUUCUGAGGGACGACGAAAGUGACGGUACCUCAGGAAUAAGCCACGUCUAACUACGUGCCAGCAGCCGCGGUAAUACGUAGGUGUCAAGCUUUAUCCGGAUUUAUUGGGGUUAAAGGUCGUGUAGGCGGGAAAGCAAGUCAGAUGUGAAAACUCAGGGCUCAACCCUGAGCCUGCAUUUGAAACUGUUUUUCGUGAGUGCUGGAGAGGCAAUCGGAAUUCGGGGUGUAGCGGUGAAAUGCGUAGAUAUACGGAGGAACACCAGUGGCGAAGGCGGAUUGCUGGACAGUAACUGACGCUGAGGCGCGAAAGCGUGGGGAGCAAACAGGAUUAGAUACCCGUGUAGUC